rnacentral:misc_RNA from 1 species
UGUGAUUGGAGGUUAUGUGUUGUUUAUGUUGUUAUUAUUUUAAAAAUUAAUUCAUAUAAUGUUAUCUUAUGAAAAUAAGUUAGUUCUUGCUCCAAUGGUCCGCAUAGGAACAUUACCUAUGAGAUUAUUAGCCCUUAGAUACGGUGCUGAUAUAGUAUAUACAGAAGAACUCAUUGAUUGGAAGUUUUUACGUUCAAAGCGCAGAAUUAAUAAUAUACUUAACACUAUUGACUAUGUUGAUCAGACAGAUGGCACAAUUGUAUUCCGGACAUGUGACGAGGAAAAAGACAGGGUUGUUCUGCAAUUAGGCACUUGUGAUGCAGAACGAGCACUCAAAGUUGCCAAAUUAGUGGAAAAUGAUGUGGCUGCAAUAGACAUCAAUAUGGGUUGUCCAAAAGAGUUUUCCAUUAAAGGUGGAAUGGGAGUAGCCCUGAUGGGCCAACCAGACAAAGCAUGGAAGAUACUAAACACACUAGUCACUAAUCUCUCUAUACCAGUGAGCUGCAAAAUAAGGAUACUGAACUCCCCGGAACAAACUUUAGAACUUGUGAACAAGUUAGUAAGUUCAGGCAUUAAGGCUAUAGGAAUCCACGGCAGGACAAAAGAGGAGAGACCACAACAUGCUGUACAUGCUGAUGUUAUCCGCUAUGUUGCGGAAAGAAUAUCAAUACCAGUUAUUGCAAAUGGUGGAUCAAAAGAAAUAGAAAAACACAGUGACAUACACAAGUUCAAAGAAGUGACUGGCUGCAAGAGCGUUAUGCUGGCCAGGGCAGCAGAAUGGAACUGCUCCAUCUUUAGGAAAGAAGGCUUAUUGCCAAUGGACACAGUCAUCAAGGAGUACCUGAAACUUGCUGUAGAUUAUGAUAAUUCACCAUCAAAUACUAAAUACUGUGUUCAAAAUGUUCUAAGAGAGUUGCAAGAGACACCUAGAGGGAGGCAGUUUUUAGAGUGUCAAACACUUGAACAAAUAUGUGACAUUUGGGAUUUGGGACAAUAUUGUCAAGAGAAACAAUCACAAUAUCAGAAAAUGGGGAUACAGGGGAGAUGGCAGGUUACUCCUGAGGAUUUGGAGCCUCCUCAUAAGAAACAAAAAGUGAUAGAUGACCUCGAAGGAGUUCAACAAAUGAAGCUGAAUGGGCCCGCGAAGAAAUGUCCGCGUGUCGAAGUCUAACCGCGAAAUUACGACGCGCGACCGAUCGCCGCCGACGGCUACAAAACCACAAACUUUUCUCCGUUGCGGUGCCCGCAUAAUAAGAAAUCUGAAUGCAUCAAGCUUAGGUACGAUACACAGGCUACCGCGACAGGCCGCCAGAAGAGCGCCAGAUGCGGUUCACCAGCGGCUGCCGCGAGGGCCACACCGAGAUUGCCUUCACCGCCACCGGCACCAACCUGCAGCUGGUCUUCG